UACGUAGGGGGCAAGCGUUGUCCGGAUUUAUUGGGCGUAAAGAGCGUGUAGGCGGCCAAGUAAGUCUGCUGUGAAAACUCGAGGCUUAACCUCGAGCUGUCGGCGGAAACUAUUUGGCUAGAGUCCGGAAGAGGAGAAUGGAAUUCCCGGUGUAGCGGGUGAAAUGCGCAGAUAAUCGGGAAGAACAUCGGUGGCGAAGGCGGUCUGCUGGGCCGUUGCUGGACGCUGAGGCGCGACACGUGGGGAGGCAAACAGG
rnacentral:rRNA from 1 species